UAAUUUUUAUACUGUAACUUGUGUAACGUUUAUUGUAUAACUUUUGUAAAUGAACCUUUACGGUGUAACUUUACAAUAUAACCUUUAUAGUAUUACUUUUGCAAGAUAACCUUCAUAGCAUAACGUUUGUAAGAUCAUUUUUGUGUAUGUAUACGUAUUUUGCGUACACGUUUAGGGGAGAGUAUAGCAAAGUGCCCUACGUAAGGAAGUGUUCAAGAUGCAUUCCUUAAUCAUCUUUGUUAAUCCUUUAACAAAGACAUCAUUGAUAUGGUGAUGUUUUCUGUAAGGAGAUGUCCACUUAAAAAGUCUCCAGUUUCUCUGGAAGCUCUGUGAUUUGAAUUCAACCUUCUGGUCACUAGCACUGGAUCUUAACCGCUGAACACCCACUGACAUCUACAGUAUAUCUAAAUGCUAUUUUAACCAUAAAACCAAUUAUUCCUUAAAUACAGCUUGCUUUGAGCUGUGCUAAAUCCGGCCUGCUGAGGAAAAUCAUGUCCCCGUGUGCCUGGCUUUUUGGAAGCACAGAUUGAGUCGAAAGCAUCAGGUCCAGGUGCCAGAGUUAUUUCUCAAAUCUUCAAACAUGUUGAGUCAUCGACGGAGGAACAGUGUGUUAUUCCGCCACGUCACGUUUUUAACACGGCGGAAGGGGAAUGAGCUUCACAGAAGAGCGCUUCUCCAGGACAUUACUGUUAUUCAGUGCUUCAUUUCGCAAGACAGUACUAAAGAGGUUCUGAUAAAGUACAGUGUUUACUAUUAAAUGAAUCAUACUGUCGAAUGAUGAGUCAAAGCUAAUGAAUCACAGAUGAACAGGAAAUGUGCAAAAGUGUGAAGUUUGUACUUCAAUUUGUAUAUAUUUAUGCAACUCCAUGUUUGGACUAUGGUCUGGUACAUUUUAUUGUGUAACUGUUUAUAAGACUUUGUUUCCUGGUCUCUUCACAAGUCGAGAGAAAAUGAGUCACGAGCAAAAACGCAUUUGGGGGAAAAUUGACAUUUUUACAACAUAAAAUAGCAGCUCAUUCCCAAUGAACUCGCAGACCAUACACCGAUGUUCGUAUAAAUUACUGAAUGAAUGAAGCUUUUUCAAUUGAAAGGGUUUUUAUCAGUUAUUCUUGGUCAGUUGA
ensembl:lncRNA